rnacentral:rRNA from 1 species
GACGAACGCUGGCGGCGUGCUUAACACAUGCAAGUCGAACGGAAAGGCCCUGCUUUUGCGGGGUGCUCGAGUGGCGAACGGGGGAGUAACACGUGAGUAACCUGCCCUUGACUUUGGGAUAACUUCAGGGAACUGGGGCUAAUACCGGAUAGGAGCUCCUGCUGCACGGUGGGGGUUGGAAAGUUUCGGCGGUUGGGGAUGGACUCGCGGCUUAUCAGCUUGUUGGUGGGGUAGUGGCUUACCAAGGCUUUGACGGGUAGCCGGCCUGAGAGGGUGACCGGCCACAUUGGGACUGAGAUACGGCCCAGACUCCUACGGGAGGCAGCAGUGGGGAAUAUUGCACAAUGGGCGGAAGCCUGAUGCAGCAACGCCGCGUGCGGGAUGACGGCCUUCGGGUUGUAAACCGCUUUCGCCUGUGACGAAGCGUGAGUGACGGUAAUGGGUAAAGAAGCACCGGCUAACUACGUG